UAUCAAUUAAGCGGAGGAAAAGAAACCAACAGGGAUUGCCCUAGUAACGGCGAGUGAAGCGGCAACAGCUCAAAUUUGAAAUCUGGCUCUUUCAGAGUCCGAGUUGUAAUUUGCAGAGGGCGCUUUGGCUUUGGCAGCGGUCCAAGUUCCUUGGAACAGGACGUCACAGAGGGUGAGAAUCCCGUACGUGGUCGCUAGCUAUUGCCGUGUAAAGCCCCUUCGACGAGUCGAGUUGUUUGGGAAUGCAGCUCUAAAUGGGAGGUAAAUUUCUUCUAAAGCUAAAUAUUGGCCAGAGACCGAUAGCGCACAAGUAGAGUGAUCGAAAGAUGAAAAGCACUUUGGAAAGAGAGUCAAACAGCACGUGAAAUUGUUGAAAGGGAAGCGCUUGCAGCCAGACUUGCUUGCAGUUGCUCAUCCGGGCUUUUGCCCGGUGCACUCUUCUGCAGGCAGGCCAGCAUCAGUUUGGGCGGUGGGAUAAAGGUCUCUGACACGUUCCUUCCUUCGGGUUGGCCAUAUAGGGGAGACGUCAUACCACCAGCCUGGACUGAGGUCCGCGCAUCUGCUAGGAUGCUGGCGUAAUGGCUGUAAGCGGCCCGUCUUGAACCACGGACCAAA
rnacentral:rRNA from 1 species